ensembl:lncRNA
CAUGCUCAACUGCCCGCUCACGGGAGUGACGGGUACACACAGAAAAGGGGAGGGAACACUGCCCUUAUAUGGGAAUGGUGCUCUUGAUAUCACGACCCAGGAAACAGUUACAGGUACAUGCAUUCCUACACUCUUAACAAUAACACAUUAUAAAAAUAGUAUUUUAAAGCAGUGGGCUUGUUACAUGCACCAAAUUAGGUUGUAGUCAGCACACAAAAUGUCAGCAGUUAAAGUCCCACAAAGACACUGACGUAGUUUGACAGGUAAUUAUGUGCACAAUUUUUAUUUGUGCAUAGAAACACUAAAUCUAAUGAUUUAAUGAGGUUAUUAAUACAUUUCAACAUCCCAUCUUCAUAUGACUUCAUGGAAGAACUCAGAAUUUAGACUCAUUUCCCAUCAUGAGGAGAGAUUCAUGUGAGCUCCACAUUUAGGCCGAUACUACUACCUUCGGUCGUGGCAGCCGUAUUUAUAUUUGGCAGAUUUAUUUGUAAGGGGAUUAAAUUACCCCAAACUACCUAACACAGAGUGGGAGUUCUCUCAUGUGUGCACCCCCCCCCCCCCUCUCCCCUCCGUGUGAGGAAAUGUAAAACUUCUUGGUGUGUUAUUUUUCUCCCCACCGUUUGUUCUUUUGAUCUGUGUGUACAUUAUCUCCAGCUCUUUGAAUUUCAAUUUUGCUGUCAUGUAAGCUCUUUUCAUCACAGCCGACGGUUUGCAGCUCUAAUAAUAUUCAACUUUUAGGUCACAGUGGAAUGAUAAUUAGAUUGCUUCUUUAAUUAAUAUGUCCCUGCAGGUUUCCAUAUCAAAUCAGUUUUAACACCACGCUUUGCACUUUGAGCCAAUAAAUUGCAAUGAAAACCCUAAAAAAGAAAAAGAAAUGAGGAUUUUAAAGGUGUACAGGAGCAGCGCUCGCUUGAACUGUGUUUACAUAAAUUGCUCAUAGUUGGUUAAUAAAACUGCUUAAUUUCGAUCACAUAUGAGCACGUUGGAAAGUGUUUCAAUACGACAUAAUGGAUGUUUCUAUUUUCUACUAAGAAAUCUCUCUCUGCUCCUGAGAUAGAAGCCUCAGCUUUGCUGGUUAUCUUCAAGGGCAGCAGUGUUAGAAAUGCUUUAAACACAAGUAGAUAAGUGUAAGUGUAACAUUGCACACUGUGUGUGUGUGUGUGUGUGUGUGUGUGUGUGUGUGUGUGUGUGUGUGUGUGUGUGUGUGUAUGUGCAUGCUUCUAGUGGCAUUUAAGGACUUAAAAGUGCUUCAGUUUCCAUCAGAGUGUCAUUUGUCUGUCAGCAUUUCUGUGUGUGUGUGUGUGUGUGUGUGUGUCACUCUGGAUUCUCCAAUGGUUGUUUGGUCCUGCAGCUGAGCGUGUCCCAUUCAUCAUGUUGAGAGGGAACAGAGAGGCCCGGGAUAUGAGCACCGCUGUAUUCCUCUCAUAAUCAAAGGUCAUACCGGGGCUCUGUGUUCAAAUUGCUUUACUUCACUGCACGCACACGCCUGCGCACACGCACUGAGGACACACAUACAAAUUAGUUGUCAUGACAAAAUUAGGCCGUGAAAAAUGCAGUGUUCUAAGACAGGUCUCCAUCCAAACGCACUUUAGAGGUUGUAAUGUGCAUCUUUCAGCGACCUGUGAGUGUAUUGCGUUGACUUUAAAUCUCCAUCUUCAAAAUUUUCUUUUUCAUGAGAAAUUAUGAUUGCAAAGUUUUUGUCCAGUGCUCACUUCAAUUAUGCACAGCCUCCUUAAGAGGAGCAGAGACAGGCCUUUGCACACUAACAAAAAAUUGAUAUUCAUGGAUGGGGAGGGAGGGUGGAAACUAUUUGGAUGUUUAUUAUACUUUAAAAUGAAGUGAUCCAUAUUUCGCUGCCUGCGUGGUAAUUAAUGUAGGAAAAGCUUGAAUUAAAGAUGUAAAUCCUGACACUUUGGCAGGGGGGGGGGCGCCGGUAAGGGACAGUGGUCUCAGAGGUCUAGAUUAUUCUUAGCGUAUACCAAUUAACACCAUGUAUCUUCUUUUAUGUUCUCUUCAAUUAGGGGCCUUUACAAUUUUUUAAGUUCUUUUCUUCUCAGUAGUUAGAGAAUGUCAGGGAGACUGAUCAAAGGCGUGAGCUGCCGUCCGCGCACCAUAGGUAAUGCUGCUUUGCAUAAGGAAAUCUGCAUAUCGCUAAGAAGGUUUUCAUUUCAGUUUGCAUGAAUUACCGAGCCGGCACACGGAGAUGUGGAGGCGCGCACGGGGCUCACAAACAAAACCAGACGACGCGCCAUUCACUGAAUCCUCCAACUUCUUUAAAUCCUGGGACCAGCGCGGCAGCAUGGUGACAAUAUGGAGGCGAAACUGGCCCGACACCAGUUAAAUGAAUGAAUCCUGUGUAUUUAUAUUUUGUUCCCCCAGCUGUUGUAUGCAAGGCUUUGGUUACCAGCUUAUUCUCACCAUUAAGAGUGAGUGUUAAUGAGAGAGAACUGCUUCUUAACUGCUUCUCGUGAAGUGAACCGGAUUCACGUGCCGUGAAUUUGGUGCUUGUUCUCCAGAUCGGCGUCUUUAAGAAGGCCUCCAAAUCAGAGCGGGCCCAACGGCUUUCUCCUCCACUCCACCGCUUUGCUCAUUUGCUUUUCUGCUCCUCCUGUCCUCCUUUCCUCUUAUUACCUAGUUUUUAGCCUCGGGACCUUCUGUCUCAAAUGGUCAAAUGAGAAUAACACAUUACACAACCCAGCAGUUUGGGAACCUCUCUUUAUAUUUUUGAAAAUAAUACAGGAGGACAUAUUUUCAUGCGCCUCUGCAUAUUGCAGAUUGGAAUACAUGCACGCAUUUGUGCACGGUUCCGUGUUGCCGGUGUUGAAACUCCUGACAGAUGCAGGGGUGGAAACAAACCAACAAACAACCUGUUCCCGGUCGUGUUAAUCACUGCUCACUUAAUUCCAUUACACCGUCGGCCACCAAUAAAUCAAUGAGCAAAUGAACUGACCGGCUAUGAGGAAUAGUCAUCCAGAGCGUGUCUGUAUUAUGCUAUUGAUGUUCCACCAGCAGGAGAUAUCGAAUGCUCUUUAGGCAAAGUGCUGACAUCAUAAUAAAAGGGCCGCCGCAAACUGGCCGGCUGUUCGUUCUGGGAGCUGCGAGCGAAAGAGACGGACGGCCUCUGAAGAAGAGGAAAAAGAAGAAAGGCCGUCUUCAAAGUCAAUACUGCGACCAAGUGCUCUAUGAGGUCGCAUUUACUGCACAUAAUGAAACUACAAAUAGCCUCUCGCACAAAGCACACAGAUGCACUAAUACGAGAGGAAGGCAUGGAAAUGGCGCUUUAGUCAGAAUAAUUAUACUACAACUGGGAUGAUAAAUAACGUGCUCAGUGGUUUCUUUUGACACUAAUAACACGGUUGACUUGUUUUGAAAUCUGUCAGUUUAAUUGAAGUCUUUCCUGAUCCACAAAAAAAAUAAAUAUCUAGAAUAAAAAUAAAAAUCUAGAUUUGUGGAAUAUAUAUCAAAAUUGACAUUGCAUAGAGUUUAUUUUUAAAUCUACUCAGAUGCACUUUCACCCCGGCGAGCGUGCAUCUGUACGUGACUUUUGUGAUGACAGUAUAUUUAAACCUUUGUUCCUGACUUCCUUAAAAGAAAUGAAAGAGAAAAAAAUGAAGGUUUGGCAAAUUCAAACAUCAAAACACGAAGUUGGGUGCUCCUUCUGUGUAGCUGUGGGUUUUCAUAACCCGGGUGUCUGGAAGCAUUAUGAGCAAAAGCCCUCCUCUUGCUCGGCGUUGCGUUUCUCGGGGGGGCCGAUAGCAGCAGUGCGAGGAGGCUGCAGGAGGGCGCGCACACGCAGCACAGACAGCCAUCUAGUGUCAGAAGGGAGCACGUGCACCGAGAAGCUCCUCCGGUCGGCCAUCAUCAGUGUCAGCGUUGCUCCACGUGUACACGCGGUUCGGGGACGGGGGCCAUCCUUCAUGAUCCCGUGGACUGUAUCCCUACGAUCAUUAAUCCCACUGGAGACGCAGGCCUUUGGAUUCAUUCACCCAGCGCCAGUGACAGGGAAUGAUGUUUGAGAUUUAGCACCCGCACCCUGCAAGGAGGCUGUUGAUGACCCACGACGGGCUCCUCGUUAUCUGCCUUUUGUUUUUAUUUCAUUCUAUUACUUUUUUACUUAUGGAUGUCUGUUAUCUGAGCUUUCUCUCUUUUCCAUUGUUUUGUUGUGUUUUCUUUCCCACAGAUUAAGGUAUUAAGGAACAUAGACCGCCCUCCAUUAUAUGUUCGGUUUCUCUUUCUUUUGCAUAUGUGUUAACAAAUAAACGACAGCACUGUGACAUGCACUGCCUUCCUUCGGUUUUAAACUCUCAGUCAGAGCAGAUAAGUAAAAAUAGAUAUCACAAUGCACUGACAAAACCCGGAUGAAGCACAGAGUUAUACGUUGCAAGGCAUCAUUACAGCCGUGACUUGAAGACAAAAAAACUCUUGUGUGUGCUGUGGAACGAGGAAACACAAGGUAGGCUAAUGGCCAGAGGUCUUGUGUUCAGCCCACACGGGGCGCAGCGCUCCUGGUUUAGCCUAAUAACUAGCCUGCUGAGAGAGCUUCACCUCUCCCAGGGAUACAACUGAAAUAACAAGGCAUCGCUUCCUGGACAUUGUGUCCACCUCCUUUACGCGAAAAAAUUGCCUUGUCUUCGUGUCUUAUGUGCCCCCCACCACUCCUCCCCCCAAGAGUUUCCAUUAACAGAUUCGACCUAAACAAACAUUAUGAACAAAUGUGUGCUAUUGUGUGCAUAUUGGGAGCAUGAAUAUGUAUUUGCCGAGUGCUCAGACAGACACAAAGGGAGGCCCAACCUGUUAUCGACUCGUUGUGAAAACCGUGCUCCCUUAAUAAUCCCGCCUCAUUAUGACAAUAGAUGUUAGGCUAAACACAUAAGCACAAGGAGACAGGAGCACGUGCUGACAAACGCGCAUUAAUACUGUACGCCGUUUUUAUCUUCUGACACGUUUAUACAGGCCGAGUCUGUAGAAAAACAAUUAGUGUAUCUUCUAAUUGCUUUUUAUUGAUCCUGUUCGACCAGGUGCCCAAUGUUCAUCCUUUGUCUGCUUGUCCCACUCAGAGAAGCACAACUCUCUUUAAGUUGCAGGAGAGGAUUGUUCCACUGUUCUGUGGAGAAAACCCAGACGGGAGCAAUUUACUGUUCUGUGCAUGUGUAAUUGCAUAAAACAAGAAAUCUCCCGGUCUGUUGCCACUGACCGUGUAGCCCCAAAGAUGGAGAAGUGAGCAAAUAUCAAAGGUUGCCACAGGCAGAGGCUUCAUCACCUACAGGCGAGAGGAUGGGCGAGGUGGGGCAGACAAAAUGGAGUACAACAUGAAGUCUGUUCAGGAGGCCAGGUUUACGUUGGAGGCCAAGCUCACCCUUAUUAGGUUUACGUUGGAGGCCAAGCUCACCCUUAUUAGGUUUACGCUGGAGGCCAAACUCACCCUUAUUAGGUUUACGCUGGAGGCCAAACUCACCCUUGUUAGGUUUACGUUAGAGGCCAAGCUCACCCUUAUUAGGUUUACGUUGGAGGCCAAGCUCACCCUUGUUAGGUUUACGUUGGAGGCCAAGCUCACCCUUAUUAGGUUUACGUUGGAGGCCAAGCUCAUCCUUGUUAGUUUUACGUUAGAGGCCAAGCUCACCCUUGUUAGGUUUACGUUAGAGGCCAAGCUCACCCUUAUUAGGUUUACGUUGGAGGCCAAACUCAUCCUUGUUAGGUUUACGUUAGAGGCCAAGCUCACCUUUGUUAGGUUUACGUUGGAAGCCAUGCUCACCCUUGUUAGGUUUACGUUAGAGGCCAAGCUCACCCUUGUUAGGUUUACGUUAGAGGCCAAGCUCACCCUUGUUAAGGUUUACGUUGGAGGCCAAGCUCACCUUUGUUAGGUUUACGUUGGAGGCCAUGCUCACCCUAUUAGG